rnacentral:rRNA from 1 species
UGGGAAUUUUGGACAAUGGGCGAAAGCCUGAUCCAGCAAUGCCGCGUGUGUGAAGAAGGCCUUCGGGUUGUAAAGCACUUUUGUCCGGAAAGAAAUCCUUGGCUCUAAUACAGUCGGGGGAUGACGGUACCGGAAGAAUAAGCACCGGCUAACUACGUGCCAGCAGCCGCGGUAAUACGUAGGGUGCAAGCGUUAAUCGGAAUUACUGGGCGUAAAGCGUGCGCAGGCGGUUUGCUAAGACCGAUGUGAAAUCCCCGGGCUCAACCUGGGAACUGCAUUGGUGACUGGCAGGCUAGAGUAUGGCAGAGGGGGGUAGAAUUCCACGUGUAGCAGUGAAAUGCGUAGAGAUGUGGAGGAAUACCGAUGGCGAAGGCAGCCCCCUGGGCCAAUACUGACGCUCAUGCACGAAAGCGUGGGGAGCAAACAGGAUUAGAUACCCUGGUAGUCCACGCCCUAAACGAUGUCAACUAGUUGUUGGGGAUUCAUUUCCUUAGUAACGUAGCUAACGCGUGAAGUUGACCGCCUGGGGAGUACGGUCGCAAGAUUAAAACUUCAAAUGAAUUGAC